UAAGGCAAAUUUCCCGUGUCUCUUUCACGCUGUCAGUGUGAUGACUCUGGCUUGAAAGUAGUUCAUGAGUACACACAAGGGAGAGCACUUGGCAAGGUAUGGCAAAUGAACAAGCUCUCAUUUCCACCAUGUGUAUGCAUUCCCAGGUAUCACUGUGUGUGUCCAUGGUGAUGUGAUGAGCUGGAAAGAGGAAAAGCGUCAUUGUAUACCUUCCACUGAUGGAGUCUGCACAGUCUAAAAUGGAAGGGUUUAUUCUCUGCAUUCCAGAAGGAGCAAGUCCUAGAGAAGAAUCCAGUGUGCUGUGACAUGUGCCUGAAAGACAGGGUGAAAAGAAUAAGAGGGUAAAUAUAUUCCCAUUUAAAAAUGCUUGGUCUUCUCAGAUGGAUGCAAGGGCCAAGGCACUCUGGAGUAAUUAUAUUACAUCAGCUGUCCCAGAACUGCAUGGUAGGUUUUGAUUAUUUGUACUUAAACAUGGAUGUUUCUGCACAAGGUGUACUAGACUUCAACUUUUUGUUAGGGGAUCAUAUGUGCAUAGCUAAUUAUUGGAUGAAAUUAUUGUAUGAAAUCUGUCACCAUGAUAACAGUGUUCAUCUAUGACUGUGA